rnacentral:tRNA from 1 species
GCCGAGGUGGCGGAACUGGCAGACGCGCAUGGUUUAGGACCAUGUGGGGCUUAUACCCUGUGCAGGUUCGACUCCUGUCCUCGGCA